ACUCCUACGGGAGGCAGCAGUGGGAAUAUUGCGCAAUGGGCGGAAGCCUGACGCAGCGACGCCGCGUGGGGGAUGACGGCCUUCGGGUUGUAAACCUCUUUCGCCAGGGACGAAGCUUUUGUGACGGUACCUGGAGAAGAAGCACCGGCCAACUACGUGCCAGCAGCCGCGGUAACACGUAGGGUGCGAGCGUUGUCCGGAAUUAUUGGGCGUAAAGAGCUCGUAGGCGGUGUGUCGCGUCGGCCGUGAAAACUUGGGGCUUAACUCUGAGCGUGCGGUCGAUACGGGCAUCACUUGAGUUCGGCAGGGGAGACUGGAAUUCCUGGUGUAGCGGUGAAAUGCGCAGAUAUCAGGAGGAACACCGGUGGCGAAGGCGGGUCUCUGGGCCGAUACUGACGCUGAGGAGCGAAAGCAUGGGGAGCGAACAGGAUUAGAUACCCUGGUAGGCUCUGC
rnacentral:rRNA from 1 species